rnacentral:rRNA from 1 species
UACGGAGGGAGUCGAAGCGUUAAUCGGAAUUACUGGGCGUAAAGCGCACGUAGGCGGAUCUUUAAGUCAGGGGUGAAAUCCUGGAGCUCAACUCCAGAACUGCCUUUGAUACUGGGGAUCUCGAGUCCGGGAAGAGGUGAGUGGAACUCCGAGUGUAGAGGUGAAAUUCGUAGAUAUUCGGAAGAACACCAGUGGCGAAGGCGGCUCACUGGUCCGGUACUGACGCUGAGGUGCGAAAGCGUGGGGAUCAAACAGGG